rnacentral:lncRNA from 1 species
CUGCAAGUCUGGUUUAGGUUUCUGCAACUAUAUUUUGAUUUUGGGUUAGAGAGGAGAUUUAUAUUUUUGACAUGAGGUCUUCUAUAAAUUCCUUGUUGUAAAAACCGCAACCUAUAUAGUGCAUUUGCUUCCUGGAUUGGAAGGAUAAUGGAUGUAGGCAUUGUUGGCCGAACCAGUAUAAAAAACAAUGUUUGAUUUUCUCUAUCCCUGCACUCUUUAUUUCAGUCGACUAUACCUGUUAAGCAGUUGUUGACAAAUUGGCAAGCGUACCAAAUCGUACAAGUAAUAUAAAAUCGUAAGUCCAAGUAUCGUUUUCCCAAGAGACUCGCGG